AUUGAACGCUGGCGGCAUGCCUUACACAUGCAAGUCGAACGGUAACAGGUCUUCGGAUGCAGACGAGUGGCGAACGGGUGAGUAAUACAUCGGAACGUGCCUAGUAGUGGGGGAUAACUACUCGAAAGAGUGGCUAAUACCGCAUGAGAUCUACGGAUGAAAGCAGGGGAUCGCAAGACCUUGUGCUACUAGAGCGGCCGAUGGCAGAUUGGGUAGUUGGUGGGAUAAAAGCUUACCAAGCCGACGAUCUGUAGCUGGUCUGAGAGGACGAUCAGCCACACUGGGACUGAGACACGGCCCAGACUCCUACGGGAGGCAGCAGUGGGGAAUUUUGGACAAUGGGCGAAAGCCUGAUCCAGCAAUGCCGCGUGCAGGAUGAAGGCCUUCGGGUUGUAAACUGCUUUUGUACGGAACGAAAAGCCCUGGGUUAAUACCCUGGGGUCAUGACGGUACCGUAAGAAUAAGCACCGGCUAACUACGUGCCAGCAGCCGCGGUAA
rnacentral:rRNA from 1 species